CCUACGGGGGGCUGCAGUGAGGAAUAUUGGUCAAUGGGCGAGAGCCUGAACCAGCCAAGUCGCGUGCAGGAUGAAGGAUCUAUGGUUUGUAAACUUCUUUUAUUUGGGAAUAAAGUGAGGACCGUGUUCCUUUUUUUAUGUACCAUAUGAAUAAGCAUCCGCGAACUCCGUGCCAGCAGCCGCGGUUAUACGGAGGAUGCGCGCGUUAUCCGGAUUUAUUGGGUUUAUAGGGUGCGUAUGUGGUUAAUUAAGUCAGCGGGGAAAGUUUGUGGCUCAACCAUAAAAUUGCCGUUGAGACUGGUUGACUUGAGUAUAUUUGAGGUAGGCGGAAUGCGUGGUGUAGCGGUGAAAUGCAUAGAGAUCACGAAGAACUCCGAUUGCGAAGGCAGCUUACUAAACUAUAACUGACACUGAAGCACGAAAGCGUGGGGAUCAAACAGGAUUAGAUACCCGAGUAGUC
rnacentral:rRNA from 1 species